rnacentral:rRNA from 1 species
AAACAUGGCUCUUUGACCACUUAAACAUAAAGAGUCCUGCCUGCCCAGUGAACUUUUUUAACGGCCGCAGUACCCUGACUGUGCAAAGGUAGCAUAAUCACUUGCCCUAUAAUUGAGGGCUAGAAUGAAAGGUUAAACAAGAGCAACCCUGUCUCUAACCCAACUCAAUAUAAUUUAAUUUCUAAGUGAAGAAGCUUAGCUACAAUUAAAAGACGAGAAGACCCUAUCGAGCUUAAAAAUAGCUAUAUUAAUUUAUUUAUAACCUUUUUGGUUGGGGCGACCAAGGAACCUUAAGCUUCCUUAUUUAUUUCUCUAACUAUUUGACCCAGUACAACUGAUUAAUAGAACAAGCUACCGUAGGGAUAACAGCGUAAUUUUCUUUUAGAGUUCCCAUCAAAAAGAAAUCUUGCGACCUCGAUGUUGGACUAAAAUUUCCUAAAUGAUGCAGAAGUCUUUUACGGUUGGUCUGUUCGACCAUUAAAAUUUUACAUGAUCUGA